GCUUGUCUCAAAGAUUAAGCCAUGCAUGUCUAAGUAUAGUACCUUAUACUGCGAAACUGCGAAUGGCUCAUUAAAUCAGUUAUAAUUCAUUUGAUGGUACUUACUACUCGGAUAACCGUAGUAAUUCUAGAGCUAAUACAUGCGUAAAGGGUGCUGAAAGGCAUCUGUGUUUAUUAGAUACAACCAACCCCUCGCGGGUUUAGGUGAUUCAUAAUAACCGAACGAACCGCGUUCAGCGGUGAUUCUUUCUACAUUAUUCCCUAUCAGCUUUCGUUUUUUGUGUAGUGGACAAAAAAGGCUUUGACGGGUAACGGAGAAUUAGGGUUCGAUUCCGGAGAGGGAGCCUGAGAGAUGGCUACCACAUCCAAGGAAGGCAGCAGG
rnacentral:rRNA from 1 species